rnacentral:rRNA from 1 species
CCCUUAGACGUUCUGGGCCGCACGCGCGCUACACUGACCGGUGCAACAAGCAUCCGUCCUUGGCCGACAGGCCCGGGCAAUCUUUGAACGCCGGUCGUGAUGGGGAUAGACUUUUGCAAUUUUUGGUCUUCAACGAGGAAUUCCUAGUAAACGCAAGUCAUCAACUUGCAUUGAUUACGUCCCUGCCCUUUGUACACACCGCCCGUCGCACCUACCGAUUGAAUGGUCCGGUGAAGCCUCCGGAUUGGCGCGCACCUCGGUGCCGCCGAGAAGUUGGCUAAACCUUACCAUUUAGAGGAAGGCGAAGUCGUAACA